rnacentral:lncRNA from 1 species
UCACUAGUUCUUGAACUCAAGUUCUUCUUCUCCAUCUUUUCAUAGGAUGUGCAGAUGGAAAACAAUCCGUACCUUUUAUUCAUCUAUACUUCAUUUCAAGAAAGGGCAACCUUCAUAUCCCAUGGCAAUACUGCCAGGCUCGCCAAUCAACAUGGGGACAAGAGCUUGGCUCAAAUAUGUGGCAUAAUAGCCUCAGAUGAGAAGCGCCAUGAAACUGCCUACACCAAGAUAGUGGAAAAGCUCUUUGAGAUUGAUCCCAAUGGAACUGUUUUGGCUUUUGCAGACAGGAUGAGGAAAAAAAUCACCAUGCCGGGCCUCUUGAUGUAUGAUGGCUGUGAUGACGACCUUUUUGAACACUUCUCAGCAGUUGCUCAGAGGCUUGGUGUGUAUACUGCCAAGGACUAUGUCGAUAUCUUAGAAUUCUUUGUGGAGAGAUGGAAUGUGGAAAAGCUAACUAGGCUUUCUAGUGAGGGGCGAAAAGCUCAGGAUUAUGUUUGUGGUUUAGCUAAAAGAUUGAGAAAGCUGGAGGAGAGAGCUCAAGAAAAGGCUCAGCAAGCACCCACCAUUCCUUUCAGUUGGAUCUUUGAUAGAGAAGUGAAACUCUGAGUGCAAAAUUGAAGAAAAAGACUUUGGUUCCUUUUAUUUUUAGUUAUCUUUUUUCCUCCACUUGGAAGAUAUUUGAGAUUUUUUUUUUAAAUUCUCUUUGGUCUAUAAUUGGAAAUAUUAAUUUUAUUUGCAAAAUUAAAUUUUAUAGUCUUUCAAAUUUCACUAUGUAUCACAUUUUGAAUAUAUACUAGACGUCAAAUGUGUGUGACUUACUACUUGUCGAGCUCAAAUUUUAUUGAAUUGAGAAGUCAUAAUUUUGAAGAUUAAUUUAGUGAUAAUUCAAUUCACUAAUUUUUUUUUUUGAUGUUUAUAGCAACCAAAAAAUUGUUUUUUUUUUUUUUGUGUUCUUAAAAAUAGAAAAUAGGGUGUUUUCAAAAAACACCUUUUAGUUCUUUUAAGUUGUUUUCACUUAUUUUGUAAAUUUUUUUUUAAAAAUAAUUAUACAAAUAUGAAGAAUGAUUAAAAAUAAAACCUUAUAUAUAAUUUUUUUAAAACAUAUAUAUAAUUUUUUUAAAACAUAUUUAAAAAUAUUUAAAACAUAUUAAAAACAUUUUAAAUUUCCAAGCACAUUUUGUUUUAUAAAAUAUUAAAAAAUAGUUUUCAAAAACUGUUUUUGAAAAUAAUUAUCAAAUGAACCCUUAAUUUCUUUUAAAUUGAUUUAAGAAAACAGUAUAUAUAUAUAUAUAUAUAUAUAAGUAAAACAUGAGAAAUGUUAAAUUCAUAAAUUUGAAGAUUAUUUUAUCCCCUUUAACUAAUUAAUUCUUAGAAAGAAAAAACUCAUUUAAACUUGCUUAGACUGACUUUUGAAAAACCAUUUUUUUUUUAUAAAAAAAUUCAAUAAAAGCUUGUAAAUUUGUUUGGCAAAUUUGGUCUAAAAAUUUUAUGAUUUUAAAAAAAGUUUAAUAUAAAAAGGUAAAAAAUAUUGCUUUUUAUAGAAGUUAUGUUUUAUCUAAUACAAAAAAAAAAAAAGUUUAAUAAAGCUUUUACAAUAUCAACAUCGUCAUUUUAAAAAACUUUGAUGAUGUUCUUUUAUAAACUAUUACAUAAAAUAAAAAUAUUUCUAAAAUAACAUUUUGAGUGAUUUUUUUUAUAUUUUUAAAAGUUUUUCAAACAUCUAAUUUUGUGAAGUGUUUUCAAAUAUUCAAAAGCACUUUUAACUUUAUUAAAACCACUCUAAAAUGAACUCUUGGAAUUAAAAUUGAUUUUGAGAGGAUUAGAAGUGUUUCAAUGAUGAUGGUAGCAAUGUUGUAUAUUCUAUAAAGUUUAUUUGAUGGUGAUUUUAGAGUGUUAGAAGCAUUUUUUAUUAUUUGAAAAUACUUACUUAUAGAAACUAGAUGUUUGACAAACUUAAAAAUGUUUAAAAAAAAUUAUUUUCUUAUGUUUAAUUUAUUAUGAAAAAUAUGAAAAAAAAAUCAAUUAAAAACUUAUGCCUUUCAAAUUGUUUUCUAGAGUAUUUAAGGAAUAAUUGAGAAUAAUGGAAAAUACUUUGAAAAGAAGAAAAAUAUUUUUAAGCAGUAGCAGUAGCAGAUUAGCAAUUAAAAAGAAGGAUUUUCCAGGACUGAGCUGAAUUCAGAGAAGAAAGUAUGCAUAGAAUUUGAUUAAAACGUCUAUGAACAAGCAAGAUGAGAGGUACAUCAUUACAGUACUAUCUCUGCUGUCUGUCAGCUAUCGACUCGGCUUUGUACAGUGGUGAUCCCUCCAUCUUGAGAUGAAAUCACCAACACUUCCAUUAGGCCUUCACAAGGGAGUUUGCACAUCCUAGUUGCUACUUAGUAUACUGAGUGAAUGACAGAUCCCUUGGGGGACCGAAUAAACUCCUUAGUAAUAAAGUCUAAGGCAUCUUAAUGAACUGAUGAAUGCUCCAAGGGAAAGACGUGUAUCCCAGUGAGCUUUGGCUUUAUCUAGACACUACUUGUUCUUAUGAGGGUUUUCUCCUCCACGUUGCUUUUCCAUAUGUCUAAAUCCACCCAAGGGGUCUUCUUCACUAGUUAAUGAGUUUACUUCAGUCUCAUUGAAUCCCAAGAACAUCCAUUUCUAUAUAUAAGGACUAUCUAUAUAUAUUUAGCAUCCAAGUCUCUCUUCCAGAGUACAAGUGAAGUCAGAAAAUGGUUCUCAAUUUGAAUCCCUUGCUUUCUCUUACUUUCCUGCAAAUGGGUUUUCAUUCAUCUCUCAAAUUCUCCAUGGUCCCCAUGCACCGCUCUGUGUCCAGGUGAGUGUGUUCUUCACUUACAGAAGUUUACGGAAUGUUCAUACCAUUUAGAAGAAAAUGACAAGUGCCUAUGUUCAUUGUUUCAUCCUAACCAGUGUCUAACCAGACGGAUCCAAAUUGUAAGUACCUAAUCUGAAUUUCUUCUGUUUAAUGUAGGGAGGUUAAGAAUACAAAGAAGACUUCUGGCUCUCCUCACAAGGUGCAAGUAACCCACUCAAUGCCACCGGCCCACCACACAAGAUUGAGAUUUUCAAAUCCAUGGAGAAUUGGGUUGAGGAGAACGUUUUAAUUCACCUGAAGCCAGUUGAGAAAUGUUGGCAACCUCAGGAUUUUCUGCCCGAUCCUGCUUCUGAUGGAUUUCAUGAGAGAGUUGAGGAGGUAAAGGAGAGGGCAAAGGGGAUCCCGGAUGGCUACUUUGUCAUUUUGGUUGGAGAUAUGAUCACUGAAGAAGCCCUUCCAACUUACCAAACACAGAUCAAUAUCACUGAUGGAAUUCGGGAUAAAACAGGGGCAAGCCCCAGCUCUUGGGCAACUUGGACAAGGGCAUGGACCGCUGAAGAGAACAGGCACGGUGACCUUCUUAGUAUCUCUAUCUGUCUGGAAGAGUAGACAUGAAACACAUCGAGAAGACGAUCCAGUAUUUGAUUGGGGCUGGAAUGGUGAGAUUCUUGCUGCAUACUUUUUUACUGUUUUAUCUCCAAAACCACAAUGUAGUGACUGCUUUUGGUAUCUCUAUCAGUCACAAUCUUCACUAGUUCUUGAACUCAAGUUCUUUUUCUCCAUCUUUUCAUAGGAUGGGCAGAUCGAAAACAAUCUGUACCUUUUAUUCAUCUAUACUUCAUUUCAAGAAAGGGCAACCUUCAUAUCCCAUGGCAACACUGCCAGGCUCACUAAGCAACAUGGGGACAAGAACUUGGCUCUAGUAUGUGGCAUAAUAGCCUCAGAUGAGAAGCACCAUGAAACUGCCUACACCAAGAUAGUGGAAAAUCUCUUUGAGAUUGAUCCCAAUGGAACUGUUUUGGCUUUUGCAGACAGCAUGAGGAAGAAAAUCACCAUGCCGGGCCUCUUGAUGUAUGAUGGCUGUGAUGACGACCUUUUUGAACACUUCUUAGCAGUUGCUCAGUGGCUUGGUGUGUAUGCUGCUAAGGACUAUGUUGAUAUCUUAGAAUUCUUUGUGGAGAGGUGGAGUGUGGAAAAGCUAACUGGGCUUUCUAGUGAGGGGCAAAAGCUCGGGAUUAUGUUUGUGGGUUAGCUUAAAGAUUGAGAAAGCUGGAGGAGAGAGCUCAAGAAAAGGCUAAGCAAGCACCCACCAUUCCUUUCAGUUGGAUUUUUGAUAGAGAAGUGAAGCUCUAAGGGCAAAAUGGAGUCACUAUAUGUAGUUUCUAGGUCGUGUUCUCAAAGAUUUAUCCAGUAAUAUACAAGUGUAAGGCAUCUAUGUUUCUCUAUCUCAAUUUCAAUAAUCACGAUCUCAUCUCAUUUCACUUCUUAGAAUGCUACAAACUCGAGCAGUGCCAUUUUUUUUUCUUUCACUAUAGGACAUUGGUAAAAGCAUCCUUAGCAAAAAGGAAAUGAUAGGACACUAUACAUCUAACAACCCUUUUUAAACUGGUUUUGCUGGUUUUAUUUUGGGUAUUUUUGAAUAAGCCCAAGUUUGGCAAUUGUUGCUUGAUUUUGUUCUGUGAUUUUUGCUUUCCUUUUAUUUUUUGCUGAGUCAAUGACUCUUAGGUAUAAAGGGACUGAUUCUUUUGCAAGGGAUUAUGAGAAGAUCAUCCAAUAAAAAGUUCUAUUUUUUUAGUCAAUAUGUCUUCUUCUUCCUAGCUGUUUCAUUGGUUUCAAAACGACAACCAGGCACCAAGUAAUGGUGGAUGGUAUCAAAGCUCUGACGAUUGUUGAUCUGAGGUCUCCUUCAAUCACUUUACAGAAUCCUCUAGUUCCAUCUGCCAUUACUUGAUACCAGGUUGUAGCUCUGAUACCAAUGAAACAGCCAGGAAAAAGAAGACACAAAAUUGACUAGAAAAAUGGAACUUUUUAUUGGAUAAUCUUCUCAUAAUCCCUACCAAAAGAACCAGCCCCUUUAUACAUAAGAGUCAUUGCAAAAAUCUGGGAAUAAAAUCAAGCAACAAUUACCAAACUUGGCCUAUCUAAAAAUACCCAAAAUAAAACCAGUAACCCCAAUUUAAAAUGGGUCUUUACAGUACAUAUUCCAAUCUAGGAAGCGGCUUAGAGAGCUCAGCACGUGGGUGGUAGUGGAGAAGGAAAUUAUGGCUCCUUAAUAAAUGCAAAUGUAGCCCCAGGGAAUGAGCCAAAAUUUUUCUCUAAAAGUUUUCUGUUCAUAAUUUAGAGCCGCUCUGCUCCGACCCAAAGAAGGGUCGAUUCGGUAAUAGGAAAAGCAAAGACGAUAGCGAGUGACCUACAGCAUUCGUAGAUAGGACUUCGCCAAAAUUUUCCUCUGAAAGUUUUCUGAUCAUAAUUUACUUCUCAGUGCCUGAACCCUUCUGCAGUAUCUUUUCUAAUUAAUGAAUUUCUUGAAAUGGGGCAGUUUCAUCGAAUGUCAUCAAUUUCUAUAUCCAUGUAUAUGUAGCAUCUAAGUAGCAAACUGAACCUAAGAAAAAGCAGAGGAAGUGAAAGUCCAGAAAUGAAUUUCAACCUAAACCCCCUUACCUUUCAACCCGGGAAGUUUCCUUCUCUUUCUCUCCGUCCCAGAUCUUCCAAUGUCUCCAUCGCUUCCACCAUCACCUCUGGUUCCGAGUGAGUGUCUUUCGUCGAAAUGUUCCUUUAAAAAUUCAUUUGAUUCUCAAAAUAUUCUAUGAGUGGAUAGAUCUUACCGAUGUUCAUUGAAAACAGGAGGAAGCAAAGGCCAAAAGUAUGCAUCAUUUUUAAGGCACAACCAACAUGAAUAGCAGCCAAACAGCCCAAUUGACCACAUGAAUCUUUUUUUUUUUUUUUUUUCUUUUUCUUUUUCCGGUUUCCUAUACUUUCUCGGCAACCAAACGGGUUGGGAGAAUAGGGGAAAGUGAAGGCAGCAACUUGUUCGCUGAUUUGUACAAGGCCAACCUUCAAUGCAAGUAAUUGCGUCAUUCGAUGAUAAUCAACGCUCUCGCUCUGAUAAUUGGCUACGGCAACCCUAUGAUUGGUUUCCAAGAAAAUGAUAGAAAAACAAACACACAGAAUCUGAGACUAAUGCUUGGGAGACGAUCCAAAAAAGUCAAAACAAUCAUACUGCACUUUAGAUGGUGGUCUGUGAAUUGGGCCGUAGGUAUGACAGUGGGCUAGGCCCAACUAUAACGGAAAACUUUUUUUUUCUUUUAAAAAUUCAAAUAUAAAAAAUGAUUUUCUUUGCUUAUUCUACAGAAGGGAGUAAACAAAAAUUCCCGACCUAGUAUCCAUAAAUAUAUAUUACAAGUAAGGGUCUCCAACGGGCGGGCCGGGCCGCAGGCUUUUUUAAAUAAGCCAAAAUGACUUUUAAAUAAAGGAAGGGAGAGGGGGGGAUUCGAACCCCUCCCCUUAAGCUUAAAUUUUAAGGCUUCAACCAACUGAGCAACAUUCUUUUUGUACUUAUUAAAUGAGUUAGUUAUAUAUAUAUAAAAAUAAAGUAUAUUAUUUUUUUAAAAAAAAUUAAAGGCUCCAUGUGAGUCAUGUGACCGUUGGGGCUAAGCCUCCAACGGUCACAUGACCAAUUUUUUUUUUUUUUAACCUUCCUAUAAAUACAUUUUCUUCCUUUUCAUUUUUUCAUCAAAUUCUCUCUAUUUCUCUCUCUAUUUCUCUCUCUAUUUCUCUCACAUUCUACAAUAUUUCAAAUUCUUUUAUUUUUCCCUCAAAUUAUACAAUAUUGUUGGUGGUGCAAAACAAGUAUUGGUGGCUCUAAGAGUUCAAAUUUGCUAGGAAUUUCUGCAUCGGUUCUCUAAUUGAGUAACAUACUUCACCCCUACUACUUUAUUUUUUUGUUACAUUUUUUUUAUAUUUAUUACUUUAUUAUUUUUGGCAUAAUAUUUUAUCAAUAAUUAUAAUAUGACAAGUGCUUCUUCAUCUAGUCCAUGUGAUGAAAUAUCAUCAAACAAAAAAUUUACUUCAAAUAUAGAAAUAAUUUUAAAAAAUAAUAAAAAAGAAAUAAAAGCAAAAUGUAAAAUUUGUAAUAAAUUUCUUACUGGUGGCUCAAAUACAGGCACAAGUCAUUUAAAAAGACAUCACGAAAAUUGUAAAACUAAAAAUAAUGUAGAUAUUAGAAAUUAUAUGCAAUUAGGUAAAAAUGAAAGUAGAAAUUUAAAAACAUUUUCUUAUGAUGAAUCUAACUGUCGUGAAGAAAUGAUUGAUUAUAUAAUAAGAGCAGAACAACCUUUCAACAUGAUGGAAACUCAUGAUUUUGUAGGAACAAUUCAACGAGGUAUUAAUCCUCAAUUUAAAGGUUGGUCUGGAAAUACAGUUAAAAGAGAUAUUAUGAAAAAAAUUUAUACACAAAAAGAAAUUUAAAAUUUUUUUUUUGCAAAUUUUGAAGGAAAUAUUUGUUUAACAUCUAAUAUUUGGACAUCUUUAAUUCACACUGGUUUUUUAUGUAUAACUGCUCACUACAUUGAUAAUGAAUGGAAAUUAAAUAAAAGAAUAAUUUCAUUUAAAUUAAUAAAUGCUCCACAUAGUGGCAAAAAUAUAACAGCUUUAAUAAAUGAUGAAAUUAUAGAUUUAGACAUUCGUGAUAAAAUAUUGACAAUAACAUUAGAUAAUGCUGCUAAUAAUGAUAUAGCAAUACAUAGACUAAAACGAUAUUGGCAAGUAAAAGAAGAUCAUGCUAAAAUAUUUCAUGUGCGUUGUUGUGCACAUAUUUUAAAUUUAAUUGUAAAUGAUGGAUUAAAAAAUGUUGAUAGUACAUUGGAAAAAAUUAGAGGCAUUGCAUAUAGUAUUAAUAGUUCUCAAGCAAAACAUGAAUUAUUUUUUGAUUGUUGCAAAAUGUUAAAUAUGAAAAGAAAAAAUAUAAAUUUGGAUAUGGCCAUUAGAUGGAAUUCCACAUAUAAACUUUUACAAAAUAUUACAAAAUAUAGAAAAGUAGUCGAAUUAUAUGAAAUACAAUUAAUUAACAAUGAUUGUGAAACAGAUAUUUAUGCAUUAAAUGAUUAUGAUUGGCAUAUUGCGGAUCUUUUAAGAGAUCUUUUUGAAAUUUUUGAUACUUCAACAAACAUUUUUUGUGGUGUAUAUUAUCCAACUUCAAAUCGAGUUAUUACGCAAAUAACUAAUAUUUUUAUUGUACUUCAAAAAUAUUUAAGUUUUGAAAUAUUUAAUGAUACAAUAUUUGCAAUGAUAGAAAAAUUUAGAAAAUAUUGGGGAGAAAUACCUUUAAUUUUUUAUAUUGCUUUAAUUGUGGACCCUAGAUUGAAAUUUGAAGCUUUGGAUGAAUGGUUAACAAUUAUUUAUUUUAAUGACCAAAUAAAAAUUGAAGAAAUUAAAAAUGAAAUAAAUUCAUUAUUAUAUAAUUUAUAUAACUAUUAUAAAGAAAAAUAUGGUAAUGAUAUUAAUACUAUUAAAUUACCACCUACAAACUCCUCAUCUUUUUAUAAAGGAGCUCUAGAAAUGUUGAAAAGUCGAAAAAAGACAACAAAUAGUUCUCCAAAUAAUACAUCUGAUUUAGAUAAAUAUCUUAAUACUGAUAUAAUUUCAUUUGAAGAUCAAGAAGAUUUUGAUAUUUUAAUAUGGUGGAAAUCACAUCAACACAAAUAUCCUGUGCUUUCUAUAAUUGCUCGUGAUGUACUAACAGUUCCUGUGAGUACAGUUGCAUCAGAAGCUGCUUUUAGUGCAGGUGGAAGAGUAGUUAGUAAAAAACGAUGUAACUUAGCGCCAGAUGUUAUUGAAGCAGGGAUAUGUGUGAAAGAUUGGGAAAUAGCAGAUAAAAGGAUGUACGAUUCCAUUUGAGAAACAGAGAUGCUUGCCGAUAUGGAAUCUUUAAAAUUAUCAAGAUCUUCAUGGAUGCAUGAUAGUUCGCCAUCACCGCCAGAAAAUAAUGACUAAAUGUAUAUUAUAUUUUUAUUUUUAUUUUUUGUGGUUGAAAAAUACAGAUGAUUGACAAAUAAAUAGGUGCCAACCUAGUUGGGAUGUAUUUAUUUUGUAGUGAUGUAAACUUUUCCCACAUUUUUAAAUGUAAUUAUACAUUCAAUGAAUAAAAUUUUGAAAUGAAUAUUUUUUUACUUUUUAUUUUUGUAGUUUUUUUUUAAAGGGGCGGGCCUAAGGGCGGGCCUACGGGCCGGCCCGGCCCGCCCAUAAACGGGCUUGGGCCGGGCUUUAGCCCGUCGGGCCGAGCCGGGCCUAAAGUGGGCCGCGGGCUUUUUGGAGACCAUUAAUUACAAGCAUAUUUUAAAAAUCAUUUCUUAGAAAAAUAAAGUGUCGUUUCCAAAAACAUCCUUCAACAAUGGUUUUGAAAACAUAAUUUUUUAGAAUAAUAUUUUAAAAUUGUUUUACAAUGAUUUGUAAAACAAAAGUUUGAGAGUUUGAAAUGUUUUUGACAUAUUUUUAAUAUUUUUAAAUAUGUUUUAAAAAUAAUUUUUAUAUUUAGUACUUUAUUUAAAAAGACCGAAAUAAGAAUUAAAAAAAUGCUAUUUAAAAACAUCAUAUUUUUUAUUUUUAAGAAUAAAAAAUAGAAAAUAAAUUUUUGAUUCUCAAAGUUUUUUUUUUUUUGAGAACAUAAAACUGUUAUAAAAAAAUAAUUGUCAAAUAAGGUCUUAUUUUUUUACACUCAAGCCUCCCACCCACCUACAAUUCCAAAAAAACAUCAUUUUUUUUUUGUUUUAUUUUGACAAAAAUGUCCUCCUUAAUUUCUUGUAAAAAUAAUUAUUUCUUUUAAAACCUACAUGAAAUAUUUAAAAUAAUAAAAUACAUUUAUGUCAAUAAUGAGUUAUUUUUCAAAUAAAAAUAUAAGAAUAAUUAGAUUCAUAAAUUUGGGAUUAUUUCAUAUUUUUUAACUAAUUAAUUCUUAAAAAUAAAAAAAUCACUUAACCUUAUUUAAAUGGACUUUUGAAAAGCCAAUUAUUUUUCAAUUCAAUAAAAGCUUUUUUUUUUCUUUUUUUUUUUUUUUUAAAAAGCUUAAUAUAAAAGGUAGAAAAAUAUUGCUUUUUAUAGAAGCUAUGUUUUAACUUUUAUUUUAUCUAAUACAAAAAAAUUAUUUAUGUUUAAUAAAGCUUUUAAAAUAUCAAUAUUGUCAUUUAAAAAUGAUUACAUAAAAAGAAAAAUUGAAAUAAUAUUUUGAGUGAUUUUUUAUAUUUUUUAAAAAUUUUCAAACAUCUAUUUUUGUAAAAACAUGUUUUCAAAUAUUCAAAAACACUUUUAACUUUAUUAAAAUCACUCUAAAAUGACCUAUUGGACUUAAAAUUGACUUUAAGGAAUUAGAAAUGUUUUGAUGACGGUGAUAGCAAUGUUAUAAGUUAUAUUGGGUUUGUUUGAAUCGUUUGAUAGUGAUUUUAGAGUGUUAGAAACGUUUUUUAAUAUUUGAAAAUACUUUCUUAUAGAAAUUAGAUGUUUGACAAACUCAAAAAAUGUUUAAAAAAAUUAUUUUUUCAUGUUUGAUUUAUUAUGAAAAAUAUGAAAAAAAAAUCAAUUAAAACUUAUGUCUUCUCAGAUUAUUUAAUUAUUCUAAAAAAAUAUAAAAAAUAAGUAAAUUAUUUUGAAAAUUUCUUUUUUUUAAAUCAAUAACAAUUUUUUCUUACUCUUUUAUCCUUCUUCCAUUUUAGCUCAUUAUCAUGUCAUUUAAGCUUAAAAAUAUGUGUUCAAUUUAAACUUAAUAAUAAUUUGAAAUGGGUUUAAGUGAGUCCUGAAAAAAAAACCAAUAAAUAAAGUCAAUAAGUUUAAUCUCUGAUUAAAUUAUAAUUAAUGUAUUAAUUAAAAAACUAAUUUAUGAGAUUAUGAGAAAUAAAUGAGGGGAGAAGAUACAAGAACAAACUCGGUGAAUAAUAGUUAGGAUUUAGAAAAAAAAUAUUUAUUUUAACUUAUUAUUUAAAGUUAUAUUUAGCUUUAAAUUGCAAUAUUAUGCCAUUUUAUCAAAUAUUUUUAAUGAUUGAAAUUAACUUAUUAAUUGUUUUUGAACACAUUUUCAAUUUUUAUUUUUAAAAUAAGAGCUCUUACAUGAAAAGUAAAAUCUUAUGUUUUUAAAAAAUCAGUUUUAAAAUUUUUAAAUUUUUUAAAAACUAUCUUAUUUUUAAAAUAAGUCUCUAAAAACUCUUAAAGUGCGUUUAAGAGUGAUUGUAAAAAGCGUUUCUAGUAUAACAUUUAUGAUAAAAAUUUUCAAGUAUUAGAAAUAUUAAAAACGCUUCUUAAAAUCAUUACCAAAUAAGUUCUUAAAUUGUAUGUCAAAAUUGAUAUUAUUUUUGUUUCUAAAAAUAAAAUUGAAGAAGUCCAUCUAAAUAAUAUUUAAGUCAUAUCCAACUCAUAUUAAGUCAUAUCCAACUUAGUUGGUAUCGACUUAAUUAUUGAAGCCAUAUGUUAAUAUUCUUUUAAUGCAUCAACCUCCACUCAAUUAAUACAACCUCAUACGAGGCUUUCCAAGCCAAAGUCUAUUGUUGAGUCUUGAAUGUUAAUAAAUGGAACUAAUCCCAACAAUAAAGUCUUAUGCCACAUGCCAAUUUCAAUAAUUCGUGAAAAAUGACCAACUUUAUGUCAACAAAUCUUAUUUAUACAGGCUUCAACUCCUUCAAUAAUUACUCUCAUAAAUUAUAAAAAUUACCUUAUACUUUCAGAUCUGCCUUAAUUCAUCUCUAAGGGAUUUUUUUUUUUAUAAAAAAAAUAAAAAUAAAAAGCAAUAUCAACCCUACACUAGUUUCAAAGAUGAAUAAGUUCUUAUGAUUGGAACAUAGACAAAUUAAAAAUAAAUAAACAUAUCAUAUAAUGUUCGAAAAAAUAAACAAACAUCUAUUAUCGUAACAUAGACACACGUUAUCUAUCUUUAGUGUUGAGCAUGGUGAUGGUGGUAAAGUUGCAAAGCCUUUUUACUCUAGAGGAGUAAAAAAGGGCCUUGAUGGCGACGAAGACAAAACGUGGGGUGGAUGGUAGUUGAAUAUUGGUGAUGGUGGAAUUUAUUAGAGUACUAUUUGGAAUCUAUUUGGUAGUAAUUUUAAAAGGAAUUAAAAGCACGGUGAAUUGUUUUGUAGUAGUAAUUUUAAUGUUUGAAAAUGAUUUUUUUUUUCUUCUUGAAUUUAGAAACAUAUUUAGCAAUGAUUCUUGAAAACGGUUUUUGAUUCUUUAGAAUAGAACAAUGUUUUCUAACUAUAUGUUUCAGAGAAAAUAAUUUUGUUAAAAAUGCAUAGCAUUAGUAGAUUAGCAAUUAAAAAGAAGGAUUUUCCAAGAUAGGGCUGAAUUCAGAGAAAGAAAAUAUGCAUAGAAUUUGAUUAAAAUGUCUAUAAACAAGCAAGUUGAGUUUUAGGGCAAAAUAAUCCUUUUAUAAAAUAAAAAUGUAAGGUAUAGCCCCUUCGUAAAACUUAUGUUCAAACUGUCCGAUUCAUUGCCGUAUAAAAGUCAUGCCAUAAAAUAUAUUUUUCUUUUCAAAAUUUAAGUUGAAACCUCAAUUAUCAAUUGGAACUUCAUUUUUUUUUAACUAAAACCAUAAUUUGUAAGUGAGACCAUUGAGGCUUCAGUUGAAUUUUUUUUUUAAAGUUUAAAAUUUAAUUAAAAUAUUAAACUAUAAAUUAUUGUUGAAAUUAAAAAUAUAUACUUUAAUAAUAAAAAUUAUAUAUUUAAACUUAAAAGAUCUAAUAUAACUUCAAUAAAAAUAAAUUGAUAAAUAUAAUAAUACAUAAAUAUUUUAUUUAUCAAUAAAUUAAUAAACUUAAAAUAAUAAAGUUAUAUGACAUAUAAAUAAGAUAUAAAAUUAUAUAAUUAUUAAUUUAAGAUAUUUAAUUUGUUGUAUUUUUAAGAUAUUAAUUCAUUUGUAUUUUGACAAAUUUAUCUUUAUUAAAAUAAUAGUAUACUAUUAAGUUUUCAUAUAUAGAUUUUUUAUUAUUUUAAAACAUAUGUUUAGACUAUUAUUUGUAGACACACGAUAGAUUUCAAAAUUAGUUAAUGAAAUUAAUUAGAAAAAGUAUACUAGAAAAUGUAAUUUUUAGUAGUUUCAUCAAAGUCACAAAAAAUACCCACUAAAUAUUUAUAUAGUGGGAAAAAAAACCCCAUUCCCUAACUAUAGCAGUUGCUACAUGUGAUAUAACUUAAAUUAAUAAAUUAUAUUUAGCAUUUCUAUAUAUAUAUAUAUUUAGCAUCCAAGUCUCUCGUCCAGAUUACACGGAAGUGAAGUCAGAAAAUGGCACUCAAUUUCACUCCCUUGCUUUCUUUUACUUUCCUGCAAAUGGGUUAUCAUACAUCUCCCAAAUUCUCCAUGGCCUCCAUGCACCGCUCUGUGUCCAGGUGAGUGUGUUCUUCACUUCUUACAAAAGUUUACGGAAUGUUCAUACCAUCUAGUAGAAAAUGGCUAGUGCCUAUGUUCAUAGUUUCAUCCUAACCAGUAGUGUCUAACCCUUGUGAAAAGACGGAUCCGAAUUGUAAGUACCUAAUCCAAAUUUCUUCUGUUUAAUGUAGGGAGAUUAAGAAUACAAAGAAGAUUUCUAGCUCUCCUCGCAAGGUGCAAGUAACCCACUCAAUGCCACCACACAAGAUUGAGAUUUUCAAAUCCAUGGAGAAUUGGGUCGAGGAGAACGUUUUAAUUCACCUGAAGCCAGUUGAGAAAUGUUGGCAACCUCAGGAUUUUCUGCCUGAUCCUGCAUCUGAUGGAUUUCAUGAGCGAGUCAAGGAGCUACAGGACAGAGCUAAGGGGACCCCAGAUGACUACUUUGUGGUUUUGGUUGGACAUAUGAUCACUGAAGAAGCCCUUCCAACUUACCAAACACAAAUCAAUAUCACUGAUGGAAUUCGCGAUGAAACAGGGGCAAGUCCCAGCUCAUGGGCAACUUGGACAAGGGCAUGGACCGCUGAAGAGAACAGGCACGGUGACCUUCUUAAUAAGUAUCUCUAUCUGUCUGGAAGAGUAGACAUGAAACAAAUCGAGAAGACGAUUCAGUAUUUGAUUGGGGCUGGAAUGGUGAGAUUCUUGCUACAUGCUUUUUUUUUUUUUUUUUUUUUCUGUAGUCAAUCACAAUCUUCACUAGUUCUUGAACUCAAGUUCUUCUUCUCCAUCUUUUCAUAGGAUGCUCAGAAUGAUAACAGUCCCUACCUUGGCUGCAUCUAUACUUCAUUUCAAGAAAGGGCAACCUUCAUAUCCCAUGGCAGUACUGCCAGGCUCGCCAAUCAACAUGGGGACAAGAGCUUGGCUCAAAUAUGUGGCAUAAUAGCCUCAGAUGAGAAGCGCCAUGAAACUGCCUACACCAAGAUAGUGGAAAAGCUCUUUGAGAUUGAUCCC